CUCCUGUCAGGCCCUGGAGCAACACUGCAGAGUGGAGUCUGGCUUCUCCGGGAUCCGUGAUGUUUACACCACGACAGCCAGCCACGAUAACAUGCAGCAGAGCUUCUUCCUCUCAGAGACACUCAAGUAUCUGUACCUGCUCUUCUCUGACGACGACCUCCUCCCUCUGGAGGACUGGGUCUUCAACACAGAAGCCCACCCGCUGCCCGUCAUCCGCAACAGCUGCCUGCAGGACGAAGCAACACAGGACAAGACAGUCGCUGAAUAAGACUGAACACCACCCUGAGGACUGAGACAGUUACAGACACAUCUGCACAGCUCAUGUGCACACACAGAGUCACACAAAUAUUGCAAACACAGAUUCAAUGCAGGUUCAGAGUCUUUUCAGGAGCGUGUCAUGGACUCUCAAUUCCUUUCCAGUAAAGGAUGUUGUCGUUUUACGCUGUGAUUGUAUAUCCUUUCGCCGGGGUUACUUCCUGCUGGCACUUCUUUUUUGUGGACAAUCAAGACAAACAUGACUUUCAUGAAAAGAGCACCUUUUUCUUUCCUUCUUUCCUCUGUGAGGAAACCAGUAUAACUUGCAGACCCAAAUGUAAUGGGAGGAGGGUUGAACCAUGGGCCAUAUUGUUAGAAAGAGAGAGAAACGUAUAGAAAACCACUUGAGUUUUGCUCUUUGAGUUUGUUGUUUCGUUAAUCUUUAGUGAUGAAAGAUUUCCUUUUAUCUCGUCAUUGCAUCUUUUCCUUUGUGAGUACGCUCUUUGACCAAAGGUUUCUUUGCAUUUCUAUUUUUCCCUCUUUUAUAGUAACGUGUUUAUGGUGAGAUUUGACAGAAAGUGAAAUUAACAGUAAGGACUGAAUUGUAAUGAAUAUUGAUAAUGUACAGACAAACAUGAAAUGUGAUUCUCGAAUCCACCUCCAAACUAAUGUUGAUGUCAUGUUUCCUACUGAAACAAGCUUGAAUGAAUUUCUUAAAAGUUCGGAGGUGUCAGGAAAGUGGCAGUGUCUUAUGCAUCCAGGGACCAUUUCUUUUUAAAGACAAUGUUGGGUUGAGUUUCCACUGUAUGCUUGGGUUACUUUGUGAACAGGACAAAGCUUUCUCAGUCCUCUCAGCCUUUCAAAGCAGAGUAUGGAGUACUGUCUGUUCUGUGGCUGUAAUGCAUAAAAGGAAAAAAAAGAACACAUUUGCUAGCCAGCUCCAAAUGGGUUUUCCUGUUUCUGUUGUAGUUCUUCUGCUUCACUCUGCCUUUACUUGUGAAUCCAUACGGCUGCCAAUACCGAUGCUAAAGGCUGUGAGCGCGAGAGCAGAGACGAGUUUUCAUUUCCAUCACUGUUCUUUUCAUCACUGCUGUCCUGCACAGUUUGUGGAGCGAAUGUGCUGUACAUACAGAUGAAGCGAGUGACCGACCCCUGUAUGAGCUUGUCUUGAUUUUAUUUUGUGAUCUUUUCUUUCUUUCUUUUCUUUUUUUUUUAUUUCUAAACUUCAGUGGUUACUUUUUCUGGGUUCUCUUUUGAUUUGCUUCCCUCAGGUGUUUCAGUAAAAAACAAAAACAAAACAAAAAAAAAACUAAAAAAAAGUUCUGACUUUAAGUCUAGUUAUUGCUGAUAUUAAUUAUUGUUAUUACUUAUUCUUACUGUUUGAUUUAACUUUCAUUGUUGAAUAUUUUCAAAUACUGAUAAAAAGACCUGUGCAACUUUGUACAUUUAAAACAAUCCCAGUCGUUCAGUGUGUUUUUUUUUUUUUUUUGUUUGCCCUGUUUGUUUACUUCUCACUAUAAAGCCAGGAAUUUCUGUCUG